CUCUUUAGCUAAGGUGGGUGCUAUUGAUGGCGAUAUUUAUGAAAGACCAAUUGCUUAUGAUGAAUUUUAUAGCAUUUUGCGUCAGAGGACACUCAACAGGUGGCAAUCAUCAUGGAACUCAGAUGAACUGGGACGGUGGCUACAUUCCAUUUUUCCUAAGGUAUCGACGAAAGCAUGGUUCAAGGGGUUGGAUGUAGGUCGGGACUUCAUUCGCGUGAUGUCUAGACUUAUGUCCAAUCACUACACGUUAAACACGCAUCUCUUUCGUAUAGGGCUUGUAGACAGUAAUCACUGCGUUUUUGGCGAUGGCUACCAUGACAUCGAGCAUGUUGUUUGGUCGUGUACCGAAUACUGUGGUGUUAGGUCUGAGCUUAUAGAUUCCCUUCGGGCCCGAGGAAACAACUGAACGUACCCGUUAGAGACAUUCUGGGAAGCGGUGAUCUCCAGUACAUGACACAGCUAUACGGGUUUAUAAAAAAUGCUGGCAUUAAAAUUUGAUUUUUUUUAUCUAUUUGCUAGAAUACAAUUUCUGUCACAAACUGCAAGAGAAUGAUACACCCGGCUGGAGACACUAAAACGAAGACUCGGCAACUCUAUGUUAACGCAGACACCUCAGACCAAAACUGCUCAAGUAGAACACCACUGGUUAGCCACGUACAAAUGAAUACAUUCUGUAAUAUAAAAUAGUUAAAAACAAAAUUGUAACACCCCUCCUCUCACUUCAAAUCCCCACUAGCUCGUAGUCGGCCGCGAGAUAUGAAAAAUGUGCCUUCCUCUUUUCCCUGCUAAUUUUGAAUUUAAAAAAAAUGCACUUGGCUCAGUUAAACAUGAAUUGUAUCGUGCCGUGUCAAAUAAACUAUUUUAAACUAAAAAAAAAAUUAAAUUCUUUCAAAUAUAUGAUGCGAUUUUGUUUUUGAUCGUGGUAUAAUCGAUUUGUACUCAUAUACAGCGUAUAAAUAUUUGGAUUGUUUAUGUCAACUUUAGUCAGUAGAUUUCAAACGAUUUAUAAUAACAAGUUGUUUCUUAUACAUUAAUUUGAAUGAUCUUAUCAGUGAAAAUGAAAUUUUUUAACGCGGUUGAUAUUACUGAUCGUUUCUGAAUGGCAUCCAAUCAAAGGCAAAUAUCAAUCAAUAUGGGUUCUUGAAACUUGGAUUAUACCCAGUGGCCAGAAUCCGACCUCAAACCCCAUUUUUAAUCCAGAUGACCACUUCUGGUUGCCUGGUAAUCAUAAAAUCUAUCAUAAAAUUGCCGAACUGCCUGAUCUGGGUAUUUCUAUGGUGAAGAUGGCGACAGUUUCCGACCAACAGUCUAAUGUGACAAAUAUCGUCCAAUACGAUUUGGGGAAGCGGUAUGAUACCCUGAGGCCAGAAAUCAUCUUCAGACGCCAUUUUUAAUUUCUAGACAGUAGCUUCCAGUUUCUGGAAACCAGUCUAAAAGGAACAAACAUUACCCAAUAUGAGUUUUUCAGUAUCCGGGAUGAUGCUCAGAGGCCAGGAAUCAACCCCAUAUUUCAUUUUGAAAUCCGAAUUUGCGACUUCCGAUUUCUGGAAAACAUCCUUCAAUUGCCAAAUAUAAUUCAAUAUAAAAAUGCAGCUCUGUCUGUCUGUCUGUCUGUCUGUCUGUCUGUCUGUCUGUCUGUCUGUCUGUCUGUCUGUCUGUCUGUCUGUCUGUAUGUCUGUCUGUCUGUUCCAUAUAGGCUUGGAAACUACUGAACCGAUUGGCGUGAAAUUUUGUAUAUAGGAGUUUUAGGAGCCUAAGAUAGUUCGAGACCCCUCCCUCUUCUGGAAUGGAGGGGUCCCAUACAAAUGAAACACAAAUUCCUGCACAUCUCCAAAACUAACCAAGUAAACAUAACCAAAUUUGGUAUGUGAAUGUUUUUGGGGGUAACAAGCAUGUCCAUACUGGUUUGAAACCCCUCCCUCUUCUGUAAGGGAGGGGUCCCAUACGAAUGAAACACAAAUUCCUGCACAUCUCCAAAACUAACCAAGUAAACAUAACCAAAUUUGGUAUGUGAAUGUUUUUGGGGGUAACAAGUAUGCCCAUACUGGUUUGAAACCCCUCCCUCUUCUGCAAGGGAGGGGUCCCAUACAAAUGAAACACAAAUUUCUGUCCAACUCAAAACCUAAUCAAGCAAACCAAACCAAAUUUGGCAUGUGGAUGUUUUUAGCAGUAACAAAUAUGUCCAUGUUAAUUCGACACCCUUCCUUCUUCUGGAAAGGGAGGGGUCCCAUACAAGUCUAAACAUAUAAAAAUGCAGCUCUGUCUGUCUGUCUGUCUGAUUCAUAUGAAUGGCUUGGAAACUACUAAACGGAUCGGCGUGAAAUUUUGUAUAUAGGGGUUUUAGGGGCCGAGAAAGGUGACUAAGAUAGUUUGAGACCCCUCCCUCAUCUGAAAGGGAGGGGUCCCAUACAAAUAAAACACAAAUUCAUGUACAUCUCGAAAACUAACCAAGCAAAUGGAACCAAAUUUGGCAUGUGGAUGUUUUUAGGGAGUGACAAAUAUGUCCAUACGGUUCGACACCCUUCAUUUUUCUGGAAGGGAGGGGUUCCAUACAAAUGAAACACAAACUUUUGCAUAUCUCAAUAACUAACCAAGUAAAUGGAACCAAAUUUGGCGGGUAGAUGUUUCUUGAGGUAACAAAUAUAUCUAUAAUGGUUUGACACCCCUCCUUCUUUUAUAAGGGAGGGGUUCCAUUUAAAUGAAACACAAAUUUUGCACUGCUCGAGAGCCAAUCUACCAAAAAGAACCAAAAUUGGCAUGUAAAUGUUUUCAGAGGUAACAAAAAUGUCCAUAACGGUUCUACACCCCUACCUCUUUUUGAGGGAGGGGUUCUAAACAAAUGAAACACAAAUUUCCGCACAUCUCGAGAACUAACCAACUAAAUGGAACCAAAUUUAGCAGGUGAAUGUUUUUAGGGAUAACAAAUAUAUCCAUAAUGGUUUGAUACCCCUCCCUUCUCUAUAAGGAAGGGGUCCCAUACAAAUGAAACACAAAUUACGCUCAGCUCGAGAACCAAUCAAGCAAAUACAACCAAAUUUGGCAGGUGAAUGUUUUUAGGUGUAACAAACAUGUCCGUAAUGGUUCGACAUCCUUCCUUCUUCUGGCAUGUCCCCAAAUUCAUACCAUUUUGAAAUCCAAGAUGGCGACUUCCGGUAUCUGAAAAACAGCGGCAAAUGACGGUAAAUACCACCCAAUAUGGGUAUUUCCGGAAUUGUUAUGAUGCACUGAAACCACAAAUUGACCUCAGAUAACAUUUUGAAUUGUAAAAUGGUGAUUUCCGGUUUUUGAAAAGCAGCCGAAAAUUACGGAAUUUCUUUAACCAGAAUGACGCUCAGAGGCCAGAAAUUGUCUCCAAAUGCCAUUUUGUAAUCCAAGAUGGCGACUUCCGGUUUUUUGAAAAACAGCCAAAAAUGGCCGAUUCCCAUCCAAUAUGAGAUUCUUCGGAACCAGAAUGAUACACAGGUGCUAGAAUCGACCACAGACACCAUUUUGAAUUCUAAGAUGGUGACUUCCAGUUUCUGGAAAUCAGCCGAAAAAAGACCAAAUAACACCUAUUAUGGGUGUUUCUUGAACCAGAAUGACGCUAAGGGGCCAGAAAUUGUCUCCAAAUGCCGUUUCAAAAUCUAGGAUGGCGAUUUCCGGUUUCUGAAAAUUAGCCUAAAGUGACCAAAUACCACCAAAUAUGAGUGUCUCUUUAACCGGACUUAUGCAAGGAGCUAAAAAUUGACUUCAGACACCAUUUUGAAUUGUAAGAUGGCAACUUCUAGGAAACAGCCAAAUACUACUACAUAUGGAUAUUUCCGUAAUCGAAAUAAUGUAUAUAAGCCAAGCAUUGACCCUGGACAUCAUUUUGAAUUCGAAGAUGAUUACUUUCAGUUUCUGGAAAACAACGAAAAUAAUUGAAUACCACACAAUAUGAGUAUUUCCGUCAUUCCGAUAAAACCAAUCAUUUGAAACGAUAUAAACAAAUAGCAAGAAAUCCAUGGAUUUGGAAUGUUUAAAAUUAUUAAAUUAAACACAAAAAUAGGCGGGACGAAGUUUGCUGGGUCAGCUAGUAAUUCAAUAAAGGUGUAUUCACUCUCUGGAUUUUAGAAUAUUGAUCCGCUUGGUUCAGCAACAAUUCUGGUGUUCCUCAGGGCAGCAUUCUUGGGCCGCUGCUUUUCUCUUUGUACAUUAAUGAUGUAACUAAAGAUCUACUACCUGGCACACGACUAUUGUACGCUGAUGAUACUAAAAUAUUUCAAAUUGUUGAGAAUUAUGAUGAUUGUUGUAGAUUCCAAACGUUACUCGAUUUUUUCAACGACUGGUGCCUACGCUACUGUAUGAUGCUGAGCAUUCCCAAAUGUACCGUGAUCAGCUUCCAGCGCAAAAAACAGCCGUUGCUUUUUGAUUAUCGUAUCGCUGGCACUUAUUUACAUCGUAGGGACGUUGUCAUUGAUUUGGGUGUUUUGUUGGACACUAGUAUGUCAUUUAGGCAGCAUUAUUCUGCAAUCAUCAAUAAAGCCAAUCGUCAACUUGGUUUAAUAUUAAGAAUUGGAAAGGAGAUUUACGAUCCUGGUACUUUGCGCACACUCCACCGCUCUCUGGUACGCACAGUUUUAGAAACUGUCUGCGUUGUUUGGAACCCGUACUACGAUUUUUGGAUACAGCGAAUCGAGCGCAUUCAAAAGCUCUUUAUCCGAAAUAUUUGUCGCAGAUUGAUACACAGGUGCUAGAAUCGACCACAGACACCAUUUUGAAUUCUAAGAUGGUGACUUCCAGUUUCUGGAAAUCAGCUGAAAAAGACCAAAUAACACCUAUUAUGGGUGUUUCUUGAACCAGAAUGACGCUCAGGGGCCAGAAAUUGUCUCCAAAUGCCGUUUCAAAAUCUAGGAUGGCGAUUUCCGGUUUCUGAAAAUUAGCCUAAAGUGACCAAAUACCACCAAAUAUGAGUGUUUCUUUAACCGGACUUAUGCAAGGAGCUAAAAAUUGACUUCAGACACCAUUUUGAAUUGUAAGAUGGCAACUUCUAGGAAACAGCCAAAUACUACUACAUAUGGAUAUUUCCGUAAUCGAAAUAAUGUAUAUAAGCCAAGCAUUGACCCUGGACAUCAUUUUGAAUUCGAAGAUGAUUACUUUCAGUUUCUGGAAAACAACGAAAAUAAUUGAAUACCACACAAUAUGAGUAUUUCCGUCAUUCCGAUAAAACCAAUCAUUUGAAACGAUAUAAACAAAUAGCAAGAAAUCAAUGGAUUUGGAAUGUUUAAAAUUAUUAAAUUAAACACAAAAAUAGGCGGGACGAAGUUUGCCGGGUCAGCUAGUAAUUCAAUAAAGGUGUAUUCACUCUUUGGAUUUUAGAAUAUUGAUCCGCUUGGUUCAGCAACAAUUCUGGUGUUCCUCAGGGCAGCAUUCUUGGGCCGCUGCUUUUCUCUUUGUACAUUAAUGAUGUAACUAAAGAUCUACUACCUGGCACACGACUAUUGUACGCUGAUGAUACUAAAAUAUUUCAAAUUGUUGAGAAUUAUGAUGAUUGUUGUAGAUUCCAAACGUUACUCGAUUCUUUCAACGACUGGUGCCUACGCUACUGUAUGAUGCUGAGCAUUCCCAAAUGUACCGUGAUCAGCUUCCAGCGCAAAAAACAGCCGUUGCUUUUUGAUUAUCGUAUCGCUGGCACUUAUUUACAUCGUAGGGACGUUGUCAUUGAUUUGGGUGUUUUGUUGGAGACUAGUAUGUCAUUUAGGCAGCAUUAUUCUGCAAUCAUCAAUAAAGCCAAUCGUCAACUUGGUUUAAUAUUAAGAAUUGGAAAGGAGAUUUACGAUCCUGGUACUUUGCGCACACUCUACCGCUCUCUGGUACGCACAGUUUUAGAAACUGUCUGCGUUGUUUGGAACCCGUACUACGAUUUUUGGAUACAGCGAAUCGAGCGCAUUCAAAAGCUCUUUAUCCGAAAUAUUUGUCGCAGAUUACUACGGUGGAACCCUGCCAUACGAAAGCCUUUGCCUGCUGGUUGGGAUAAAACCCCUUGAAGAGCGUCGUAAGGACAUAUUGGUCAGAACAGUGCACAAAAUCCUCACUGGUUGCUAUGACUGCCCCGCUAUCUUGAAAUUGCUUCAGCUGCAAUGCCCUCUUCGUCCACAACGUCAUCAGCGAUUACUGCAGACCAACGCACACCGCACGAAUUAUGGCCAGCAUGAACCUGUUCGUCGGAUGGCCCUGGUUUAUAAGCGACAAAAUGUUAAUUUUUAUUUCUAGUAUAGUUAUUUAAUGUGCAUUGUUUGUUUCGACUUUAUCUAUGUUAUCUGUAUUGGAUUUUUGUAAUAUCUCUGUAUUUGUUUUUGUUAUUUUUUUUUAAAGAUGCUGGGUUUUUAUGCCGCCUUGAUAGUCGCCUACCAGUGACUUUCGAAGUGGCUUUUCUCAGCCAUACACUAACUUAUUCAUUAAGGCUGCUAGUCGGAUGGAUAUAAUUGAAUAAAUAAUAAUAAAUAAUAAUAAUAUUUAUGUUGUAUUUAAAGGAAUAAUUUGAGAAUAGUAUUUGAAAUUUGAAGUAAUAUUUGUAAUAAAUUUUUACAUUUUGAUACAUAACCUCUAAACCAAAAAUCCGAUUACAAUGAAAUUCAAUAGCAACCUAUGGGGCAACUACACCUUUUAUUUGAAAUAAUUUCACGGGAAUCGAUCCAGCCAUCUGUGAGAAAAGUGAGUAAGAAAAAAAAUUACACACACAGCAACCUAUGGGGCAACUAGACCUUUAAUUUGCAAUUAAUUUCAUGGAAAUCGGUCCAGCCAUCUCUAAGAAAAGUGAGUGAGAAAAAAAAGUUGCACGUACACACACACACACUCACACACACACACACACACACACACACACACACACACACACAUACAUACAUACAUACACACAGAAAAUGCUCAGCUCGUCGAACUAAGUCGAGUGAUAUACGACAUUCGGCCCUCUGGAGCACUUUCAUACCUUUAGUUUUUCCAGUAAUUGCUAUACCUUUCUAGGAGAAAGGCAGAAAUGAUUCAGCUAAAUCUAUGAAAAAUGAAUGAGUUUCGAAGCCACCGGGACACGUUUCUUUCAAAAAUUGUUGAACCACAUGUUUAAUAAUUCGUUUAGGAUUUUCAAGACAGCCCAUUUGACAGUUCAUUUGACACCAGUUUUGUUUAAAUUGGUACUCACAUUUUGAAACACGGUGCCUAAACUAAAAAUCCGAUUACAAUGAAAUUCAAUAGGGUGUUAUAAGGCCUUUCAUUUGCAACUGAUUUUGUGAAAAUCGGUCUUACCAUCUCUGAGAAAAGUGAGUGAGUUUAAGCAGGCUUUGGUAUAAGCUUUGCUUUUAUAACGUGAUUUCACUUUUUAGCAUUGUUAUACUAAACAAAGGUUAUAAAAUCGGUCGAAAAACGCAAAAUAGAUCCAAGAUCCGGAGGGCCGAACCGUAUAUACCAUUCGACUCAGCUCGACGAACUGAGUAAUGUCUGUUCGUGUGUGUGUGUGUGUGUGUGUAUGUGUGUAUGUGGUUGUAUGUGUGUUGUCUGUAUGUAUGUGCAGCAAAAUACCAACGCACCUUUCUUCUAGAACGCAAUAUCCGAUUUUGAUGAUCUUAUAUGCAAAUGAAAGCUACUGUGCUCCCCCAGAAUGCUAUCGAGUGGAUUUUUGAUUAGUGGCUUAGAUUUCGAGAUAUUGAUCGAAAGUAUUUUUUUACAAAGGAUAUUUAACAUUAAACACCAAACGAAUCUGUUGAGGGCCAACUGUUGUAUACCAAUCGACUCAGUUCAACUAAAUGAACACUGGCUGUAUAUAUGUCGAUGUGUGUAUGUACGUAUGUAGGUGUGCAGGUGUAAAUAUGUUGUUUAUCUGUGUGGUAUAUCAAAAUCGAACAAAGAAAAACAAGAAAAAAUCCCGCCAUUCUUACAGAACGCAUUAUCCGAUUCUGGUGUAUACAAGUGCAAAUGGAAGCUCCAAAGCUCUUCAAAAAUCAUACUGAGCGAGUUUUUUUAUCAGCUGCUUGAAUGUUAGAAUAUUUUAAUAAGAAAGUUUAAACAUAAGAUAUUUUACAUUUUGGAUCAUUUCUCUCUCUAUCUUUCUUUUUUUUCUGUCUCUCUCUCUUUUUCUCUCGCUCUCUCUUUUUUCAACCGCUAUUUAUUUCUCAAAAGAAACUAAGAGUAAAAGACAUAUGUGCUGUGUUUCAUACUCUGUGUAGUGCGUCCUAACUGGGGUAAAUUAAUGAACCUUUUGUUUUUAAGAGCUCUUUACUAACAGUUUUCAAUACCGGAGCAGGUAUAAAUGGUCCUGGGAUAAGUAUCUCGAUACCAAUGGGCCGUUGUACAGUGGAGCACUUAGAACAUCAAACCUGAUCAAAAUUAUUUUUAUGGGUUUUUGUACUGGAAACGUAUCAUGGAUCAAUGUAGUAUAAUAAAUAGUUGUGACUAAAAAUUUCAUGGAUUAACCCACCUUUGAGUGAUUUGUUACUUUUCUGAUUAUGUAAUUCGGAUUCAAUAGUAGUUUUUUUUCUACAAUAAAUGACUAUAGCUUUAUGAAUGAAACAUAACUAUUUUUUUUUAGAUCAGUGAGGUUCGGGGCUUACACUGUUUUGUUUAUUAAUCAAUCUGAGCACUUAGAAGAAUCUGAAGAGUCACUAGUAUUAUUACCAUUGUCCGUGUACGAACAUUUCACUCCCAACAUUUGCAUUGCUUCGGGCGAAAAAGCUUGACCGUUUUUCUUGAAUUUUGGCCUAGAGCUCGUAAUCAAAGGAUCGGAAUUCAAUAGCAACCUGUUGAGAAUGUCUCAGAACACCCAUCCAUUACAUGACAGAGGUAUGUUCUUGAAACUGAGGCAACAAUACUGCCGGAAGCUGAAAAGUUGAAAUUUUCACAAUGAUGUAACUCAUGAGUUCGGAUUGGUUCGGAUGAUCUAAAACCACCAGUUUGACCAGAAACAUACAGGCUUGGGGCUUUUGACUCUGUCUCUGUAGAAGUUUUAAGCGCGAAACUUCAUUCGCAGGGACUUUCACCAAAUUUGGAUAACUUUUUGCUCAAUUUGUUGUCAGAAAAGCAUAUGUAUUUCUCACAUGGUGAUUCGACUACUUCCCGAAUUAGUUACAUAGGCCUCCCCCAGGGCUCAUGUUUAAGUCCUCUCUUAUAUAAUUUUUACGUCAAUGACAUCGAUGAAUGUCUUGCAAAUUCAUGCACGCUAAGGCAACUUGCAGACGAUAGCGUUGUAUCCAUUACUGGUGGCGAGGCUAGCGAUCUGCAAGGACCAUUGCAAGAUACCUUAGACAAUUUGUCUGAAUGGGCUCUUAAGCUGGGUAUCGAAUUCUCUCCGGAGAAAACUGAGCUGGUCGUUUUUUCUAGGAAGCAUAACCCAGCUCAGCUGCAGCUCCUACUAACGGGUAAAACGAUCUCUCAGGUUCUAGUCGCUAAAUAUCUCGGGGUCUGGUUCGACUCUAAAUGCACCUGGGCUUGUCAUAUUAGGUAUCUGAGACAAAAAUGCCAACAGAGGAUUAAUUUUCUUCGUACGAUUACCGGAACUUGGUGGGGUGCUCACCCAGGAGACCUUCUAAGGUUAUACCAAACAACGAUAUUGUCAGUUCUUGAGUACGGCUGUUUCUGCUUUCGCUCCGCCGCGAACACGCACAUUAUAAAAUUAGAGAGAAUACAAUAUCGUUGUUUGCGUAUUGCCUUGGGUUGCAUGCAGUCGACCCAUACGAUGAGUCUUGAAGUGUUAGCGGGUAUUCUUCCGUUGAAACAUCGUUUUUGGAAUCCCUCUCACCGGUUGCUAAUUCGAUGCACAGAACCCAUUAGUAAUUGAAAAUUUCGAGAGGUUGGUCGACCUUCAAUCUCAAUCGAGAUUUAUGACUUUAUAUUUUGACUAUAUGGCUCAAGAUAUUAAUCCUUCUUCAUACGAUUCCUCCAAUGUCGCACUUUUAGAUACUUCUAAUAAUGCUAUAUUCUUCGACACCAACAUGAAACAAGACAUUUCUGGUAUCCCGGAUCAAUUGCGACCCCAAGAGAUCCCUAAGAUUUUUUUCCAAUAAGUUUAAACAUGUUAGUUAUGAUAAAAGGUUUUACACUGACGGAUCUAAUCUAGAUGAGUCCACUGGCUUCGGUGUUUUCCACGAAAAUUUUACCGCCUCCUACAAACUCGAUGCUCCUGCUUCCGUGUACGUCGCAGAACUUGCUGCUAUUCAGUACUCUCUUGGAAUCAUCGAAACCCUACCCACAGACCACUACUUCAUCUUCACAGAUAGUCUCAGUGCCAUUGAGGCUCUGCGAUCAAUGAAGCCUGUGAAGCACACCCCGUAUUUCCUGGGGAAAAUACGGCGGUUUUUAAGUGCUUUAACAGAUAAAAAUUACCAGGUUACCUUAGCGUGGGUCCCUUCUCAUUGCUCGUUUCCGGGUAACGAAAAGGCUGACUCUUGAGCUAAGGUGGGUGCUAUUGACGGCGAUAUUUAUGAAAGACCAAUUGCUUAUGAUGAAUUUUAUAGCAUUUUGCGUCAGAGAACACUCAACAGUUGGCAAUCAUCAUGGAACUCAGAUGAACUGGGACGGUGGCUACAUUCCAUUUUUCCUAAGGUAUCGACGAAAGCAUGGUUCAAGGGGUUGGAUGUAGGUCGGGACUUCAUUCGUGUGAUGUCCAGACUUAUUUCCAAUCACUAUACGUUAAACACGCAUCUCUUUCGUAUAGGGCUUGUAGACAGUAAUCACUGCGUUUGUGGCGAUGGCUACCAUGACAUCGAGCAUGUUGCUUGGUCGUGUACCGAAUACUCCGAGCUUAUAGAUUCCCUUCGGGCCCGAGGAAAACAACCGAACGUACCCGUUAGAGACAUUCUGGGAAGCGGUGAUCUCCAGUACAUGACACAGCUAUACGUGUUCAUUAAACACGCUGGUAUUAAAAUAUGAAACUCUUCUAUCUAUUUGUUAGAUUACUAUUCCCGCUACACGCUGAAAGAAGAUGAUCCCAAGCUGGAGACACUCAAACGAAGACUCGGCAUCUUCAUGUUCACGCAGACACCUCAGUCCAAACUGCUCAAAUAGAACAUCACUGCUUAGCCAUGUACAAAUAAAUAAAUCGUAUAACUCAAUAUAGUUAAAAUCAAAAUUGUAACUCCCCUCCUCUCACCUUAAAUCCCCACUAGCUCGUAGUCGGCCGCGAGAAUAAAGAAAAGGCCUCCCUCUUUUCCCUGCUAAUUUAGAAUUUAUAAAAAAAAUGUACUUGGCUCAGUUAAACAUAAAUUGUAUCGUGCCGUGUCAAAUAAACUAUUUAAAAACUCAAAAACCGCAACCCUUCUUAUUGCGAGAAUAUCGAUAAAAGCUGUAAAACUAUCGAUUUUAUUAAAUCGUUGACCACUAAGUGUUCUUAGCGCCACCAUACUGCGUAUUGCGACAUGCUAAAAAACCGUUGAAUCUUUUUACACAUAAAGCGAAACUAGCUUGGAUGUCUGUUAUCUGUGUCGGUAGGUAAUUCAUAAUUUGAAAUCAUUGACUGCAACUUAUGCCAAUUUUUCUUUUUCACCAGGACUCGUUGGUUGGAUAUACGGCGAAUACAUUCAAAGAUCUCCCGUGUCCCGGCGAACAAAGGUAAAUUUCUUGAAAUAAGCCUUUUUUAAAAUCAAAUUCAUUAAAAAGGCAAAAUAUAAUAACAUCAAGUCAAUAAUGAUAAUUUUUCCGAAAUUCCCUCAUUGAAGCUUAAAGUACUCAUUUUUUAAUCAAAAAUGAAUAACUUUUACGCAUUGCGCAUCAGGUAUAAUAUGGGUAAUAUUUACUCAAUUUUUAUAACAUUCGGUGGUACUCAAAAAUGAGUAAAACAACUUUUACUCAAUUUUGAGUACAUAUGGUUUUAGCGAAACUGAAUAGGCUACUUUCAGUUCCUAAAAUUAUUUUAAAAGAAGGCGACGAUAGAUUUGUUGAAUUUCUUUCAUUUUGCUUGGGCUUUUCAUGCGAUUGAAAUUCUGACAGUAGAUAAGAAUUUCAUUCGCAUUCUGUCGAGGAAGCGAAGAAGUUUCUGCCUCAGAAGAGGGCGUCCUUACGUGCGAAAAUUUGAUGUACUAAAUUUGUUUACACUUCCGUGAAGUUGUUGAAGACGGUGCGUGCGUUCAUUUGAUAAAAAAUGACGAUAUGAUUGAAGGUCGGCUACUGCUUCGGCUGGCGUGAGUCUAUAUUCCUGAUGGACUUCAAUAAAGACGCGUUGGAGUUGUUCUGGAGAUGUCGGCAGUCCUUCUGAUGCGAGAAGCAUUCUUAUGCUGGUUGGUGUCAUUCCUUCUACGCAUACAGAUGAUGAUUGAUCCUUCAUGAAUGCGAGAUAUAGGCGUGUAAUAUGCAUUACUUUUGGGUCGCGGAGUCUAGCCUUCAAAAAGCGCUCGACGCCAUUCAACGAUUGCUGCGUGAGUUGGACAAUUGGUGGACGCAUGGGGUCAAGUUCAAAUUGGCUGUCUCGCGGUAUUGAUUGUAUGCUGGCGUUAGUUGCAUUUUUUUCUGUCCGAUAUGGGUUGAUGGUUUCGCCUUUUUGGAAAUUUAUAAAUUUUGAUGUUAUGUCUGCAUUCGGCGGCCUAGCAAAUUAAACGCGUGCCGCUGCCAGGAGGUCUUUGUCCGAGGGUAGUGGUUGUUUUGGCAAUUCAGAAAUUUGAGUUUUCUCUCCGUUGCAAACGAAAUGGUUUAUUCCGUGAUUAUAGAUGUUGUUACUUAUGCUGAUAGAGUUUGAGUUUUCCUGCUGACGUUUGCGUUGCUGCAUACGUUUACGAGCGGCCUUUUCUGCUUGCGUCUUUUACGCUUUCUGGCGUCAUAUUCAGUCCAGUCGCGUUUCCAUACUUUUUUUAUUGCCAAUUAGGCGCCAGCCUGAUGUGAAAUUUGGUAUAAGGUGUUCUUCUGAGUCCGAUUCUGGAAGUGGCAAUGAAAGGCGAAGUUCUUCAGCCAGACUGGGAUUAUUGUCUGUUUUUGGUUGGAGUGAAUUAGAUUCUUUGAGCGCUUUUAAUUCAGUAAUUAGUUCCUGCGCCGUUGCACUGCAUUUUGUUUUCUUAUUUUGUAUGGCUUCUAAUGAGUGUUUCAUAUUGUCAAUUUUUGAUUCUAUAUUAGUGAAUGCUUUUUCCAGGUGCUGUUGUAUAUUCUUUGUAUGCUGCCGAUUUUGUUUACUAUUGUCCGUUAUAUCCGAUAUGGAGUCAUGGACAUGUUCGCCGAACAACGUCGAAAUGCGAUUGAUGGUUUUUGCCGACGCAUUGUUUGUGUUGAUAUUUACAUUUUUAAUUUCCGUCUUCAAUUCAGAAAGAAGUGUAUUGAUACUGUCCAGUGUGUCGUGCGUUACAGUCAGUUUUGGAAAUUGACUGAUUAUUGAAUGACUUAGUUUAAUUUGUGAUUCAAUACUUUCUGUUGAAAUUUCACGAUGCUGGAUACUUCUGCAGUUGCAGUUGGUCCAUGAAUUGUUCCUGGCAUUCUAUGCAUAAAGGCAGCAUGAAUGAACGCAGUAGUUCUUCUUGGUUUCUACGGGUUCCUACGCAGGCAGCGUGGAAGUGUCUUUUGCAUAUUCCUUCGCAUUUCCACAGGAAACGGUUGUCAGUCGAAGUACAGUUGGUUAUUCCACACCUUUCCAUAGCACCACAGAUAACAGACAUCCAAGCUAGAACAAAAAACUCCAGAAAUCGUGUGUAAGAUUUUUUUUUUUCAAAUCUUUAAUGUUGAUUUUAUUAAAAUUUUAUUUGUUUAAAUUUUUAAUUUUUUUUUUUGUGGAUUUUAUUAAAACAAACAUAUUUAUCGUAAAUAUAAGCUGGGAAGGAAUAAAAUUGUCGAUUGUGUACAAAUUACGACUGCUCGAAAUUUCUACAUUAAAAACCGCAACCCUGCUUAUUGCGAGAAUAUCGAUAAAAGCUGUAAAACUAUCAAUUCUAUUAAAUCGUUGACUACUAAGUGUUCUUAGCGCCACCAUACUGCGUAUUGCGACAUGCUAAAAAACCGUUGAAUCUUUUUACACAUGAAGCGAAACUAGCUUGGAUGUCUGUUAUCUGAGGUCUAACUUAGCUUAAUAUUCCUCAGGAAUUUCAUAACAUAUAUUUGUUUGAAUAAAGUUUAUGGAAUUGAUUCGUUUCUCGCUUAACCCAAAAAUGGCAUUUGAAUCGUCAUAACCAAAUAGGACAAAUUUUCAAACUCUUUUUUCUCGAAACGUCAAUUUUCGAGUUAUCUAGUUUUAGCAUUGAGGGGACGAUAUGUGCACACACCCUAUAUAUACACGCUGGAUAAUGGUGGCUUCUGCGAUUCUCGUUAAGUUUCUGGUUGUAUUCACCCAACGAUAUCUGAAUUGGAUUACCGCUGGUUGGGUCCAACUCAGAUCGAAGGGGAGCCGAAAUAGGUAGGAACUGCAGCUAACCACUACCGCUGCCGCUGAUGCCGUUGCUACUCAACGCCACCAUUGCCCACUGCCAUCGCUGCUACUGUCCGCUGCUGCUGCCUGCCGCUAGUAAACUGAUUUGCUUGAGGAGAAGCAGUCUUUUAUAUAGCCCAACGAGUGUAUUGCCGGCUAACUACGUACUCUAUUAUGUCGUCCUUUCCAGGGAAAGGCAGCAAGCGACCAAUCAAAGGUUGACAUUUGCGUUUCGACAAGGCUUAACAAUUUUCAAUAGUACAAUAGUUCGAACAAUCAUUAAAUGAUUUUUCAAUCGAUUACUGCAAAAAUGACGGAAAUCGGUUGAAAAUUGACUAUGCUUAAAACGUUUGGAAUUGGACAAUUUUCGUGACGCUCUCGAUGAUUUCGGUUUUCGAAAUUGAAUCCCUGCAGUGUUACGUAUGUCUUAUGUAUGUGUUUAUACUAUUUAAAGAAUAGUUAUAGUACAAAAUUUGGGAUUAUUAGUUUACCAUAUCGUGUAUAAAAUCGAAAAAAAUAUGCUCGGGAAAAUCGAUGUUUUUGAAUGGUAACCAUACCUAACGCCUAGUUCACCAAAUGGUUAUUUCUCAGUUUACUAUAAACCAGAUGGUCAAAACUGAAGCUGAUAUGGUAUGUAAAUGGUUAUGUGACUUUUUGACGUUGGACUAACGUCUAUAUCGAAGUUAGGCACCUGAAUUUGAAAAUCUAGUAAUUCAACCGGGGAAAACCAGGGAAAAGUGGUCAGGUUUUGAGCGCUUAUAUAUCAGUCAUUUCUUUUCAGAAUUUCGAGGUUUUGGCAUCAACCGAUCAGAAAUUCUUUUACGGUUGAAUUUAUGUAACAAAAAUAACCUAUUGUUCGAGAUACACUAUUGAAAAAUUGAUAAAUCACAUCGAUUGUCUAAAUCAUACCGAGCAACCAAUCACCACCUCUCUUCACAAGCACAGUCGACACUAACGGAUACAACCGAUCUGACUUCGUAAACAGUCUCACAGCUUUCAACCAAUAACGAGCUCGCUUUCGGUAGCUGCAACAGGUGUUUCAACACCGUUUUAAAAUGCUUCUUUUAUCAUUACCACUGAACAGAUUCUAAACACCAAUGGCUUGAUUGAUAGGGGAAAUAUUGCGCAAGAUUGUCAUAUAAUAAUUUAAAUAUGUUUUCGAUACUAAACUAGUUAAAAGUUGUGUUAAAAGUCGUGCACAUUCAACCAAUCACAAGCUCGCUUCUUGUUUGCUCGCGGAUGGAUUUUUGCUUUGGGCUAUAUAAUAGCCUGUGUCGACUCAUAGCAGUCUCAGUUAACAAGUGAAAGGCCACCAGGCCGGUCUUGUAUAAUCAGCAGCGGUGGCUGAUUCCAGCGGCCAAACUGAGCUGCAGCAGAACCAGAGCGGUGGUAUCAGGCAGCAGCGGCGGAGGUAGUGGGAAGCUGCAUUUCUUCAUUCAGUUCGGUGCUCCUUCGAUCUGAGUUGGACCCCACCAGCGGUAAUCCAAUUCAGAUAUCGUUGGGUGAAAACGUUGGGUGUGUGUGCAGUGUGCACAUAUAGCGUAUGUGCAUCUAUAUUGCUAUGACAUUUGCGAUGAUAGGGAUGGCGCUGUUGCGUGUGUAUGGCUAGCUAUAGCGUGUGUAAGACACUAGCAUGUGUAGCAUAUUAUGGCUAUUGCGUGUAUAUCUUUAGCGUGUGUACGGAUAGUUAUAGCUUGUGUGUGGAUAGCUGCUGCGUGUGUAAUGAUUAGUUAUAGCGUAUGUAUGGAUAGUAAUAGCACAUGGUUGGAUAGCUAAUGCGUGUGUAUAGAUAGUUGUAUCGGAUGUAUGGAAAGGAAUAGCGUGUGUAUGGAUAGCUAUAGCUACAGCGUGUGUAUGAAUAGUUUUAACGCGUGUUUAGAUAGUUAUAGCAUGUGUGUAAAUAACUAUAGCGGGUGUUUAUCGAAGAUUAUUAUUGUCAUUGAAAAUAUUAAAACGUCUUAACGAACACAGUUGUGAAUUUGAUUUUACAGCAGCGAUUUUAACUUCUUCAGCCAGUCUUUAUUCAUCGAGGAAAAAUUACUACCUAUGAAUGAUCAACACUUAUUUACUAGAAAUUUGAUUUAGAUCAAAACGGGUUCUUUUGAGUAUCAUAAGUUAUUGGUAAAAAGAGUUGCAAGUUUUCUCAAUGAGCAUUCAUUAAAUUUUCGUUUUUGUUUCUCGGUGCGCGGCUUUGAUUUUGUUUCUCGAACACAGAGAAAGAAACAAACUUGUCGCUAUCGUGAAAAAUAACAAAACAAUUAGGAAUGCUCUAAAUCACAACUGAAGAAGUUAAGAUAUUUUCCUGUCACUCGCCCAAACCUUGAUAACAACUACCGAAAAACGUGUGAUUGAGCUCUUGCUAUAUUGAGUUAUUGAGCCAAACGUUUUUUUUUUCAAAUACAUGAAGUUAUAUGCUGGGCUGGAACUAACCUAGCAUGAGUUUUAUCGAUUAAAUGUCAAACAAUUCUCAAAUUUAAAAUUUUCGGUUGAAUCGUUCUGGGCUCCAAUUUCAGAUAGUUUCGUAAAGUUUGCUUUUUGCUUAGAUAGGAAAAUUUUACCAAUUCGCUCAAUUAAAUGAUUGUCUUGGUAGUGCAGCAAACAAAGGGUUGAUUCGAAUAUGUAUGAAAUGACAGCGAUUAAAUAAAAAAUAUCCAUUCUUUUAGUAUAUAUUAUUAUUUAUAACGUUUAAACGUCUCAGCAUCCAGAAAUGCACUGUUAGAUAAAAUUGCAGCAAAUACUAGAGUUGCAAUUCUCUCUAUUAUUUGUUUUAAUGGAAUAUAAGAAUACCGUAGUCCAACGUCAUGCGGUCGUGUCUUGAAUACCACCCUCCUACUUUUUUUAUAAAUGGUUAAGAUACUAUACGGGAAACAAUUCGUGUAUGGUAUUUGUUUAUGCGGGAUCUUUAUACACGCUGCUUUAUUUUAACUCUAAUCUGAUUAGGAUCUACUCAGUUUGGUAUUCUUAUGCAAAAUGUCAAAAAGUGAGUAAUCGAGUACUGGACAAUUGAUAACAUGAACGCAAAUUUUCAUAAUUACCAUGUUUAUUCAGUUUUUAGUUAUUAUCCAUGAUGUUUACUCACCCUGAGUAUAUGUAUAUGUCAAAAGUUUUCAACAGCAAUAUUAUCGGUUGGCUAGCACCCAACAUCAGUAUUGCAGAGGAUUUGAAAACACCUAAAAGAUCUCUUCAAAAUGAACAACCGCAUGUUGUAUGUUCUACGAUGCCGUUUAAAGCCGGACUUUUAUUCGUGAUAACAAACGGAAACAUUUGUAUUGAUGUACAGUGCUCAACAAUCGAUGCAAUUUAAAUCCUUCGCAGUAUUAGGUGACGAAUGAUGACGGAUUUUCUGGCACAAAAAUGUAAAUCACAGUUCACGGGCACCUGUCAACCGGUUGGGUGCCACAUUCAAUGAAGACACGGGAAUGAUUUAGUAAAUUUUCUAAUGUUUCGAUGAAAAAUAAAUCUGUGUUUUUGAUUGUUCUGAUUUUA